AUUGCUAGUUACCAUCAUUAAGUUGGGGACUCUAGCGAGACUGCCAGUGAUAAACUGGAGGAAGGUGGGGAUGACGUCAAAUCAUCAUGCCCCUUAUGACCUGGGCUACAAACGUGAUACAAUGGCUGGAACAAAGGGAGUGCGAAGCAGUGAUGUGGAGCGAAACCCAAUAAAAACAGUCUCAGUUCGGAUUGAAGUCUGCAACUCGACUUCAUGAAGUCGGAAUCGCUAGUAAUCGCGGAUCAGAACGCCGCGGUGAAUACGUUCUCGGGGUUU
rnacentral:rRNA from 1 species